rnacentral:tmRNA from 1 species
GGGGAUGAAGCGAUUCGACGGGGUGGCUCUUUAACAUCUGCAAGCCGUUUUGACUGGUAACGAAAAAGCAGUCAAAAAAUAACUGUCAAAAACUAUUUUGACCAAGCACUGGCCUUCCUUCGGGAAACCUUUGCUCCAGCCCAACCUGCUUAUUUAGUAGCCUAAGCUGGCAUUCAUAGGUUUUGUUUCUCGGUGCAAACUUAUGGGUGAAAACACAGCCGGGAUGCAGCUCCGAUCCUGAAGCAACUCGGAGUCAAGAUUUUUGCUUCACUCUUUACCCAGAUGACUUGGUAGUUAUUCAGGGUAAAGCUAGAUAACUACCUAUGCUUGUAGAUGGUGUUAACCCGCUACUUCGGACCCCGGCUCACUACCGGGCAUCUCCACUC